UGUUUGAUGUUCUAACGUUGACCCGUAAUCCGGGUUGCGGACAGUGUCUGGUGGGUAGUUUGACUGGGGCGGUCUCCUCCUAAAGAGUAACGGAGGAGCACGAAGGUUGGCUAAUCCUGGUCGGACAUCAGGAGGUUAGUGCAAUGGCAUAAGCCAGCUUGACUGCGAGCGUGACGGCGCGAGCAGGUGCGAAAGCAGGUCAUAGUGAUCCGGUGGUUCUGAAUGGAAGGGCCAUCGCUCAACGGAUAAAAGGUACUCCGGGGAUAACAGGCUGAUACCGCCCAAGAGUUCAUAUCGACGGCGGUGUUUGGCACCUCGAUGUCGGCUCAUCACAUCCUGGGGCUGAAGUAGGUCCCAAGGGUAUGGCUGUUCGCCAUUUAAAGUGGUACGCGAGCUGGGUUUAGAACGUCGUGAGACAGUUCGGUCCCUAUCUGCCGUGGGCGCUGGAGAAUUGAGGGGGGCUGCUCCUAGUACGAGAGGACCGGAGUGGACGCAUCACUGGUGUUCGGGUUGUCAUGCCAAUGGCACUGCCCGGUAGCUAAAUGCGGAAGAGAUAAGUGCUGAAAGCAUCUAAGCACGAAACUUGCCCCGAGAUGAGUUCUCCCUGACUCCUUGAGAGUCCUGAAGGAACGUUGAAGACGACGACGUUGAUAGGCCGGGUGUGUAAGCGCAGCGAUGCGUUGAGCUAACCGGUACUAAUGAACCGUGAGGCUUAACCUU
rnacentral:rRNA from 1 species